AAAUGGCAACCGGAAUCGACCCAAAACAUGAUUUUGAUGUAUAUGGCUUUUUGUAACUCCAGCAAUGAAAAUCCUCUCGAGGGAUUUGUUUUGGAGAAGAAGCAGGAAGUGACAUUAACAGCAGCAGUGGACUCAGGCGGGCUCAUGCGUUUAGACUAGUUUCACCUGCUGGAAGCAGGUGCCACUGCGUGUUUUCAAGGGCGAAUGUCCCAGUUGUGGCAUCUGGUGAUGCCGUUGCAGGCAAUAUGGCUACCACUUGGAUGUCGAAUGAGACUUCUGCAACUUUGUAAUGUUUAUUGGCAUGACAGUGGUGCUUUAGGACUGCCUGUUCCGGUGUUCCAGACUCUCCUCGUGGUACCAUGACCCAUUCAACAGUUUUUCUUACACAUCCCACCGGGAAGACACCCCAGAGGUGACCCAGUCCAUGUCUCUCGGCUGGCCAGGAAACGUCUCAGAAUCGUCCGGAAGAGCUGAAUGAAGUGACCGGGGAGAAGGAUGUCUGGGUAUACCUGCUGAAGCUACUGCCCUUGCAGCCCAACUUCAGAUAAGUGGAAGAAAAUAGAUGGAUGGAUGGAUGGAUGGAUUUUAAAGAACGUAUUUGUUACAGUCCUGCUAUAUUCUGCCUGCUACUGGAAAAAAGUACACAAAAAUUGACAUAUCAUUAAUUCACCAAAAAAGA